AAAAAAAACCUCUAAAGGGGACCCACCAAAAGUCGAGCUGUCAUCUCUCUGCUGAACGGAAGUUCUGACCUGAGCUCUCACGGUUUCGCACCUAACCCCUUACAGAUAUCAUCUGUGGUAUAUUCACCUGUAAGACUGAAUAUUGGGAUCUGAAUACGGGAGUAUAUUCAAGUAGUGGGACACACGGAUAAGUUUAAGUGUUUAAAACAUUAAUAUCGUAUCUCGAAUCAGUAGAACUUUGUGUGAAAAUUUAAGUGGACCAGUAUACUUACAAUCUAGGUAAAUUGUUUAGAACUUAGAAUGAAAUCAACCUUAACGGUGUUGGUGAUUUGUCUCUUCAGCUGAUAUGAUCCUCUUACACAAACUCACAAAAAUAAUGUUUGUAAAUAUUUCUUUACUGCAUUUUAAUUCUCUUGUGUCAAAAAUCCAAAAAGAUUUUCAGUGUGUUUUAGAAUUAUUUUUGAAAAAUUCAAAAAGAUUUUCGACAACUGAUAUUGAAAAGUUGAUUUUCAAAAUUCUGAGUGCUAAACAUGAUGAAAAAAUGGUUUGGGAGAGUGUGUUGAUUUGAAAAUAAAAAUGAUGUAUCUUCAAGUGGUUCUUCAAAGAUUAACAUUGUAAAAUCAUUCUUUGAUUGUAUAACUUCUGCAAGUGAUUUAUUAGAUUUUUACAAGUUAUCAUCAGACAAUUUAUUGUGAGGUAGAGGAUGUGCAGGUUUCUAAGUGAUAGAGAACCAGGUUCCGAUACCUGAAGACUUUGUGAUUUCAACAUGCCAGACUGCGAUCCCAGCAUAUCGAAAGGGGAAGUCUGAAGACAUCUGAGUAGAGAUUGUUCGUGGGGAGUCUGUAGAUGAUGAUGAGAAGAGAAGAGAAAGACUUGAGGAUGCUUACACUGUGAGAUAUUUCAGAGAGCGUUCAGACUGAUAAAGACUGAAGUUGUUGAAGACUCGACACUUAAGACUCGUCAACAUCUGAGGGGGAGUCUGUUGGUGCAGUCAUCUGUCGUCUUCGUUUAAUGUCGAGUCUGGGUUGCGUUGCGUUGCGGUGUUGAUCAAGCAUGAUGUCAUCAUAUAUGAUGAUGACAUCAUAUUGAUGACAUCACAUAUUGCAUCAUCACAUGUCAUCUACAUAUUCCAAAUCAAGUAAACGACAAAGAUCAAAGGAUUUGAAAUUAUAUUAAAAUGGCCAUUUGAUGAUUGGACCAUUAAAGGGUCCAAUGAGAUGUCAACAUGUGAAGGUCCAAUAGAAAGGUUGGCUUGAUGGUCCAAUGAGAAGGUUCACUUGAAAGACAAAAGAAUUGUAUAGGUUCGCUUAUUCUUCAUGGGAGGUUCGCUUUUAAGUCAACAUGUGGGUUCGCUUUUACGGCAAACAUGGGAGGCUCGCUUUUACGGUUAUACAUAUGGUUCGCUUAUGUGUUCAGUGUCAUUUCGAGUGAACCAACAAUAUUAUAAAUAGGCAAGUUGUCAUUUUCAUUUGUAAUGAUUCCAGAUUUGAUACCGAGGUAUUGCCGGUGUUCCUUGUAACUGUAAACGCUGUAAAAUCAAUAUACAAGAGGUUUAAAGUGUGAUUCAAGCUGUAUUCACGUCCGUUUCUUUGUUUCCGCCUCUGAAACGGAUUUAAGCUCUUCCGAACGACUCGUUUAGGUCGCAAUCCGAUCCUACACUCACCAAACCCUAACUCCACAAAUUUGAUCAAUUGAAGGCUAAUUCCUGUCCCAAAUCGAAAUCUGAACAUAGAUUCGUGAUCCUCAUCACAAGGGGGUUACAAGGAAAGGACACCGAAGCAUCAAGCGGACAAGCCGGUGGCAACUUGCGUUUGAAGGGUCCACUUUGAAGGUGAUGUUGGAACUAACCGGAAGAUGAUCGAGCUAGCUUUUGAAGAACCGAACACUAUUUAUAAGCUUCCGCAAUGUUUUAAACUUUGAUAGAUUAUGCUUAUGGGUUGUAAACAAAUUGUUAAACAACUUUUGGAUGUUUUAACUUAGUCGUUAGUUGACUAAGGUCUUUGCUACUUAUGAAAUCUAUGUUAA